rnacentral:rRNA from 1 species
UACGGAAGGGGGCUAGCGUUGCUCGGAAUUAGCUAGGGCGUAAAGCGCACGUAGGCGGAUCUUUAAGUCAGGGGUGAAAUCCUGGAGCUCAACUCCAGAACUGCCUUUGAUACUGAGGACCUUGAGUUCGGGAGAGGGUGAGUGGAACUGCGAGUGUAGAGGUGAAAUUCGUAGAUAUUCGCAAGAACACCAGUGGCGAAGGCGGCUCACUGGCCCGAUACUGACGCUGAGGUGCGAAAGCGUGGGGAGCAA